GUCAGUGUGGCUUAGUGGUUUAUGUGUUGGACUGCAACUCUGGAGACCAGGGUUUGAUUCCCAGCUUGGCCA